rnacentral:rRNA from 1 species
GCCCCAGACUCCUACGGGAGGCAGCAGUGGGGGAUAUUGCCCAAUGGGGGACCCCCUGAUGCAGCGCCACCUCGUGGGUUAGGACGCGCUUCGGCUUUUCAAGCCCUCUCCUUUGGGAAGAACCCGGCCGGUACCCCCCUCCGAAGCACCUUCUCCAUACGUGCCCUCCUCCGCGGUCCUCCUUAUGGUGCCCUCGUUAUCCGGACGGCCUUGGUGUAAAGGGAGCGUAGACGGGUGUACAAGUCUGAUGGGAAAGCCCACGGCGCAACUGUGGGAGUGCAUUGGAAACUGUAGAACUAGAGUAUCGGAGAGGCAAGUGGAAUUCCUAGUGUAGCGGUGAAAUGCGUAGAUAGGAGGAGGAACACCAGUGGCGAAGGCGGCGUGCUGGACGAAAACUGACGUUGAGGCUCGAAAGCGUGGGGAGCAAACAGGAUUAGAUACCCCAGUACCA